UACGAAGGGGGCUAGCGUUGCUCGGAAUCACUGGGCGUAAAGCGCACGUAGGCGGCGACGUAAGUUGGGUGUGAAAUCCCUCGGCCCAACCGAGGAACUGCGCCCAGUACUGCGUUGCUUGAGGAUCCAAGGGGUGCAUGGAAUUCCCGGUGGAGCGGUGAAAUGCGUUGAUAUCGGGAGGAACUCCGGCGGCGAAAGCGGUGCACUGGUGGAUUACUGACGCUGAGGUGCGAAAGCCAGGGGAGCAAACGGG
rnacentral:rRNA from 1 species